rnacentral:rRNA from 1 species
AUUGAACGCUGGCGGCAGGCCUAACACAUGCAAGUCGAGCGGAUGAAGGGAGCUUGCUCCUGGAUUCAGCGGCGGACGGGUGAGUAAUGCCUAGGAAUCUGCCUGGUAGUGGGGGAUAACGUCCGGAAACGGGCGCUAAUACCGCAUACGUCCUGAGGGAGAAAGUGGGGGAUCUUCGGACCUCACGCUAUCAGAUGAGCCUAGGUCGGAUUAGCUAGUUGGUGGGGUAAAGGCCUACCAAGGCGACGAUCCGUAACUGGUCUGAGAGGAUGAUCAGUCAAUCUGGAACUGAUCGACGUCCGACACCACUGCGGGGCACAGGAGUGGGGAAUAUGGCAAAACGCGCGAAAGUCUGCUACACGCGUGCCGGUGUUGUGCAGAAGGUCUCUGGAUUUAAACGCAUUUUACGUUGGGAGACAGGGAAUGAAGUUAACUCGUUUUUGUUUUUCAGUUAAAAAAAGAUUACGCCCCUGCUAUCUCCGUGCCAGCCGCCGCGGUAAUAGACGAAGACCACACGCCUGACC